UGUGCUGGUGAGUUCAAGAUGAGGGUAAUUUCCUUGGGGCCAAAACACACAUUCAGUGAAGUGAAGAGAAAGAGUUAAGGGAAUUUAGAGAGAGAGAGAAACAGCCGAGAAAGAGGGAGAGUGUAAAAAAAAAAUUCUUGGAACUCAUUUGCUGGAAAUUGAGUAGGAAAGCUAAGAGAAAAGCUAGGGAAAAGUGGAGAAGUGAAGAAAAGUUCAAGAAUUGGCCAAGAAAUUCAUCAAUUUGAAGACUUAAGGUCACGCGCCAUUGUCUGCCUGGUUUAUCUGAUAUGUCCAGUUUGUGUGAUUUGCUUCUACAACUAUCUGUGAGCCGGCGCGUGAUCAGGGCCAGAGUUGACGGCCUUCAUUUCUAUUUUUGUCAGCCAACCGUUGUGCCUCCUGUGGAGGUUCCGGAUAUGUCAAGUGAUUGUUGCUAUGUGAUUUAAAGUUUUAGUUCUGUUUUCUUGUUUGGUUAAACAAGUCUUGUGUAUUUUGUAAAAGAGGCUAAGUCCUUUUUGUCUGAUCUGUAUAUAUAUUAUGACGUAGGGACGAUGUGUAUACAUGUAUAUAAAAAAUUAAAAUUUUUCUAUCUCAUAUAAGUCUGCACAGCUCAAUGGACGUUGUAUA